GACACUACAUCACGUCCCAGAGUGGCUGCUCACCGACUGCCUGGGCUCCACGUAUCCCGAGGCAGAGGAGGGACAGAAUUAGCUUUCUGCUUUGCCACAGAACAACGGCGAGAUCGCUUCCCGAUAGUUGUCGUUGUUUCGUACCCACAGUGCAUGUGGGGCACCGAAGAGUUUUUAUUUGAUUUGUCCGUGAUUUGUGCCUCAACAAAUUUUCUGCCAUCGCGUCCUUAGGCGAUUUGUCACAGGCAAAGGCCAAAGGAACGUCACGUGGGGAGCUCCCCGAUUCACCCGACAUCCAUGCACGACCGGCCAUAAUGGAAUGCUUCAGGGACGGCCAAUUUGUCUUCUGACGUGACAUUGCCCCCUCUUGCCAGCCGCGACACGGGUACUCAAGCAGCGGUCCUGUGACAUCAACAUCCAUCCUCUCUGCCACACUCGAGUCCCAAGCCCAACUCCACAAAAAGCCAAUCAUCCGAGCAGCAGGUCAGGACCAGGGCCUCGACUCUCGUGAAACCUCCAAGAAAGCAGAAUGCUUCACGUUGGACGUUGACAUUUGAGGCCCGGAUUCACAUGCUGUAGGAAACAAAUCACCGAAGUGAACACUGAAGAUGACGCAGCCCUGCAGGGAGUCGAAGACUGAGAAGAGGAUCUGAAAGAGGCUUGAGCGGGGGUCAGUGAUGGCCAAAACGGCCGACAUCCACGUGAGGGCGAGG